ensembl:lncRNA
AUUUAAAAAAUGCCCCCUCGGGUUUGUUGCUCAAACAUAGUUGUUCACAAGACCUCUGGAAAAUUUAGGAAUAAAGUGUGCGUGCCUCAUGCUGAGUCGCUUUAGUCGUGUCUGACUCUCUGCAGUCCCGUGGACCGUAGCCUGCCAGUCUCCUCUGUCCAUGGGAUUACCCAGGCAAGAAUGCUGGACCUCCAGACACUUGAAAGGUAACCAAGUCAGGUAAUCCCAGUGUUGCAGAUGAGAGCCGAAACAGGAGGGUUUGAGUGAGCAGAAGACUAGGAUGAGCACUGGGUGUUCCUGCUUCUCCAGCCCCUGACUUCCUGCUGGAAUCUGUAUCAUGGUUACGUAGUUUGGUACCUGGACCACUCUUAACCAUGGAGUCAAAGACUGAGGACACAGAAUAUCUCUGGAAGGAUGUAUACAAAACUAGACAC